UGUUUUCAUCUUUCCAGACUUUCUCAGCAGCCCCAGCCAAAAACCGUAAGAUCAUAAGAAAAACUUUCCAAACAGGUUUCUUCAUCCUGACUGCACAGAAAAACCCGGCCCAAAUGGUGAUCUUGAAUAUUAAAUUGCAGAAAAUUAAGUAAAUACUAGGCUGGGUGGGCCUCCUAAUCUCGAUUCAAGUAAACUAAGUAUGCAUGUGAAUAUAACUCCAUGCUUAACUUUGGGGUGGUUGGAUCCCCUAAUCUUAUCUUGGUAAACUUCCAUAUCUACUGAGCACAUUCAAAGGCUGUCUUAUCUCUCUGGGCUGGCUGUUCAAGGAACCUGGGAGUUCUCAGUAAAAUUAAUUAGCAGAUGAAGAAAAUAUCAAAAAUUUCAAAUUACUUGGCUAUCCAACUUACACUUAGCAGAUGAGAAUCACUGUCCUACUCACAUCCAUCGGACCCCUAACUCAUAAGCAGGAGGAUCUCUACAAUAGAGCAAGAGGCUGUCACACACUGAUACACAUCAAGAGCCACAGAGAGAGAGAGAGAGAGAGAGAGAGAGAGNNNNNNNNNNNNNNNNNNNNGAGAGAGAGAGAGAGAGAGAGAGAGAGAGAGAAUAAUCAGAAAACCAAGGGGAAACAGAAAGCCAUCAAGUUCGUGCAUAAUUUCUGGAGAAGUACUCACCUGCGGUCUCAGGACGGAACAAGAUUUCCAGCCUUCAUAUCCAAAUUGUAACCUGCGAUCCACUUGACCAGGAGCAACUAUCGUCAUCACCAUGAUAGGCUUCACAUUUUUCAUACAGCUGGACGGAGGCCGACUGAGGAAGAGGCGCUCCGCGGGCACGCCGUAUGUUGUCAGAGUGAUGCU
rnacentral:lncRNA from 1 species